rnacentral:rRNA from 1 species
UACGAAGGGGGCUAGCGUUGUUCGGAUUUACUGGGCGUAAAGCGCGCGCAGGCGGUCCUUUAAGUCUGAUGUGAAAGCCCACGGCUCAACCGUGGAGGGUCAUUGGAAACUGGGGGACUUGAGUACAGAAGAGAAGAGUGGAAUUCCACGUGUAGCGGUGAAAUGCGUAGAGAUGUGGAGGAACACCAGUGGCGAAGGCGACUCUUUGGUCUGUAACUGACGCUGAGGCGCGAAAGCGUGGGGAGCAAACAGG